GACGGACAUAAAAAGCCGACGCACCGGCUUCUUCUUCCACUUCCUCCUACCCUUUGCUGCUGCAAAGAAGAAAUGGCGCGCGGUUUGCUGCUAAAGGUUUGGAUUUUGAGGCUUCUUGCAAAAGAAGAUGUGAUCAAAACCUUCAGUGAGGAUGAACGCCUCAAGCCCAGCAGGGUUUGUUCCCCAAUAACAUCGUAAAUGCUGGAGAGGUGUUAGAAACUUACUGGAGCCUGAUGAAGUGUCAGCUGUGAUAAAUGCUUCACUAGUGGUGAAUCUAAAGCGGCCGACAUCUGGGACUGAAAAGUCAUAAACAUGUCCUGAACAGCCUCGGCGACCUGAUGGCGUUCCCGUUUUGAAGGUCAAAAUCAGGAAGUGAUGUCAUCGAGGUUCCCCUCCACAUAACUGCUGUUCAUCCAGGAAGGAGGUGCCGCCCGAGUCGCAGCGUUGGAACGAAGCGCAGAUGGAGGUUCAAGUUGCCUGAACCAUAUUGAUGGAAAUCAUCAACUGAACCAUAUUGGUUUUCUUCUCAAAGAUGAUGAAACUGAGCAGAUUCUGUGUUCCAGCCUGACGUCUUGGUUUGAGGUUUGCUGGACUCCAGCUGCAUCUGAAGAAUUUGCUGUUGAGAUUUUUUAAACUGUUUUCUGUGCAUUAAAACUGAAAUGAAAUAUAAAAAUUGUCUUUUUUUUUUCCUAUAAAAAAUUAAACUGCAUUAGAAUUUUAUAUUUAUUUGGGUUUUAGGGGGAACAUAAAUUCCAGAGCUCAAGUCAAACUUGAUGGGGGAAAAAAACCCAUGGGAUUAAUCUGAUUUGGUUUUUUUCCCUCCAGGCAAAAUAUUACCAAUUCAAACUCAUUUACUCUUUUACUUUU